UGAGACGCUGCAAGAAUGAGGCUCCUGAU
rnacentral:piRNA from 1 species